GGGGAACCAGGACUUUUACCUUGAAAAAAUUAGAUCGCUUAAAGAAGGCCUAUGCUCGAAUACAUUAGCAUGGAAUAAUAGAAUAGGACGUGUGGUUCUAUUUUGUUGGUUUCUAGGACCGCCGUAAUGAUUAAUAGGGACAGUCGGGGGCAUCAGUAUUCAAUUGUCAGAGGUGAAAUUCUUGGAUUUAUUGAUGACUAACUACUGCGAAAGCAUUUGCCAAGGAUGUUUUCAUUAAUCAGGAACGAAAGUUAGGGGAUCGAAGACGAUCAGAUACCGUCGUAGUCUUAACUAUAAACUAUGCCGACUAGGGAUCGGACGAGCUCAAAUUUGACUCGUUCGGCACCUUACACGAAAGUAAAGUUUCUGGGUUCUGGGGGGAGUAUGGUCGCAAGGCUGAAACUUAAAGAAAUUGACGGAAGGGCACCACCAGGGGUGGAGCCUGCGGCUUAAUUUGACUCAACACGGGGAAACUCACCAGGUCCAGACACAAGUAGGAUUGACAGAUUGAGAGCUCUUUCUUGAUUUUGUGGGUGGUGGUGCAUGGCCGUUCUUAGUUGGUGGAGUGAUUUGUCUGCUUAAUUGCGAUAACGAACGAGACCU
rnacentral:rRNA from 1 species